rnacentral:lncRNA from 1 species
ACCCACCGUCUCUUAAGCAAGUGAUAAAGGACUUGAUAGUUGAUACAUGAAAUCUCAAAUUUAAAUUCUACUUAGUUCAUAUUUUUAACUAAAUUUAUUUUUUAAAUAAAAUAAAUAAAAUGAAUAGCGUGUUAUCUAUCUCUCUAAAGAAAAACAAGUCCUAUAGCAAGAAAUAUGUACAUAGUAUCUUGCAAAAUUAAAAUAAAUC